rnacentral:tRNA from 1 species
GGAAGCGUGGCAGAGUGGUUGAAUGCACCGGUCUUGAAAACCGGCAGGGGUUCAUGCCCCUCGUGAGUUCGAAUCUCACCGCUUCCGCCA